ensembl:lncRNA
GGAAAAUUGAUAAAAAUUGGGGGUAAUUAAUACUAAUUAAGGCCUCCCCCCCUAUUCUUUGGUCUUGAUGGGGUGGCUGAGGCCGAAAUGGGAACGCGAAGGGGGGGAUGGAGGGAAGGGUCGGAUAAAAUGGGGUCCUGGGGGAAAAUAGUUAAAGGAGGGGGAAAGGGGGGUAAUUAAUGCUAAUUAAUGCCCCCCGCCCCCAUUCUUUGGUCGUUGAUGGGGUGGCUGAGGCCGAAAUGGGAACGCGAAGGGGGGAAUGGGGGGAAGGGUCGGAUAUAUGGGGUCCAAUGGGGAAAUUGGGGGUUUUAGGGGGGGUUUUGGGGUUGGGGGGGUCCCGUAAGCUUUUCAGCUCUCUUUACUUUCGUGGGUCUUCCCCUGUUUGGGUUUCCCUUUGGAGCCCUCCCCCCCCCACGUCGUCGUCGCUGUGCUGGUGAUCAUUUCCGACCUGUGGCCUUCGAUUCAUUCUCGUUUCC